rnacentral:ncRNA from 1 species
UGGGGUAAGAUUGCGAACACCCCGUGAGGCGUCAGCCCAAGUUUCGC